rnacentral:rRNA from 1 species
CAGUAGCCGCGGUAAUACGAAGGGGGCUAGCGUUGUUCGGAUUUACUGGGCGUAAAGCGCACGUAGGCGGACUUUUAAGUCAGGGGUGAAAUCCCGGGGCUCAACCCCGGAACUGCCUUUGAUACUGGAAGUCUUGAGUAUGGUAGAGGUGAGUGGAAUUCCGAGUGUAGAGGUGAAAUUCGUAGAUAUUCGCAGGAACACCAGUGGCGAAGGCGGCUAACUGGUCCAUAACUGACGCUGAGGUGCGAAAGCGUGGGGAGCAAACAGGAUUAGAUACCCCAGUAGUCCCUGUCUCUUAUAC